UCAUCGUGUAGAGCAGAUCCCUGCCUAGCCUCAGUGUCUCCAAGAGUGAUGCCUUGGAGAGAUCAAUUUUCUUUGAUGAAGAAGAUGGUGGGUUGACAUCGGGAGUCUGGGACUUUGACCAUUGCUCUGUUGACUGAGUUGACUUCAUCGAUAUCAGAGGAGGUGCUGGAGAAGAUACCUGUCUUGGGCACGCAGACUCUUUUGGAGGUGGACGGGCCACCUUGGUAGGUCAUCGGAUUAAUUUCAUCGGUGGUACAAUAGAGAUCGAAGUAGCAUUUACAUCUAUCAAUAUUGCCCCAGGUA
rnacentral:lncRNA from 1 species